rnacentral:rRNA from 1 species
CCUGACAUGCGACGCCACGUGAGCGAUGAAGGCCUUCGGGUCGUAAAGCUCUGUCACACGGGAGGAAAUGCAGAUAUGCAAAUAGCGUAUCUGUUUGACAGUACCGUGAGAGGAAGCCACGGCUAACUCCGUGCCAGCAGCCGCGGUAAUACGGAGGUGGCAAGCGUUGUUCGGAUUUAUUGGGUGUAAAGGGCAUGUAGGCGGUUAUGUAAGUCAAAUGUGAAAUCCCUCAGCUCAACUGAGGAAGUGCAUUUGAAACUACAUAGCUUGAGUGUAGGAGAGGAGAGCGGAAUUCCCGGUGUAAGGGUGAAAUCUUUAGAUAUCGGGAGGAACACCAGUGGCGAAGGCGGCUCUCUGGCCUGAAACUGACGCUGAAAUGCGAAAGCUAGGGGAGCAAACAGGAUUAGAUACCCUGGUAGUCCUAGCCGUAAACGAUGGGCACUAGGUGUAGGAGGUUAAUACCUUCUGUGCCGAAGUUAACACAUUAAGUGCCCCACCUGGGGAGUACGAUCGCAAGAUUGAAACUCAAAGGAAUUGACGGGGGCCCGCACAAGCGGUGGAGCAUGUGGUUUAAUUCGACGCUACGCGAAGAACCUUACCAGGGCUUGACAUGUGCCAAGUAAGAACCGGAAA